UACGUAGGGGGCAAGCGUUGUCCGGAAUUAUUGGGCGUAAAGCGCGUGUAGGCGGUCCGGUAAGUCCGCUGUGAAAGUCGGGGGCUUAACCCUCGGAUGCCGGUGGAUACUGUCGGGCUUGAGUACGGAAGAGGCGAGUGGAAUUCCUGGUGUAGCGGUGAAAUGCGCAGAGAUCAGGAGGAACACCAAUUGCGAAGGCAGCUCGCUGGGACGUUACUGACGCUGAGACGCGAAAGCGUGGGGAGCAAACAGG
rnacentral:rRNA from 1 species